rnacentral:lncRNA from 1 species
CGCAGAUUGCCAUUCAGGUAAGUUUUACACACAUCUAUUCUAUUUGUUGUAAAGCGCUAAGUGUAACACCGCAAGGUUCAAAUUCUUGGAUUUAAUUUCUUGCUAGUUUCGCGAAAACAUAAUUACUCAUUUGAAUGCUCAGUACAAUCAUGACAAAUUGAAUGAUAGAUUGUCACUCGCCUAUUGUAUACGCUCAAUGAGUCAUGUAUAUACGCGAGGCUUCACAAUCCGUCAAUUCGCGAAUGAACGCAACUGAAUCGUGUUAGUCUUGUUCCAAACUGAGAACUGCCCUUCGGAAACAUAGAUUUAUCAUUAGCAUAUAUAGUCAAGCUGAAAGACAUCUGUAUUUCUAUAUAUUCCCAAGUUCUUCUGUACAAAAUACCUUUUACUUGUUCCGAAUGCAAAUCAAACGGAGAUAUUUUGCAAGAUAUUGAAAAGGAUUUUGCUCCUCCGAAAGUACCAAGGGCUACUUUUUGAAAUUGCUUUGACCUUUGUGUAAUCGUUAGUUUAUGUACUAAAGAUGUUUCUGCUUGCAAUAUGAAAACGUCAAAGGCAAAAUGAAAUAGUUUCCCCAUAUUACACCGGCCAUACAUUUAAAAGAACACGAAGUAAUACUGAUGUAGGCUACUUCUAAGCUGUUGUAUCGUGUUGUUAACGGUCCACGGCCUCCAAACUCCCUGUUGGGAAGGAGGCAGACUACGGAAAUAUGACUUAACCUUAAUAGUUAUCCAUUCAAACCAGCAUUCAAUAUUUACAGUCGAUUACUGAGCAGUCAUUCGCGAACCGUUUCUAUAUUAAAAACGGCGUAGAACCCCUAAUCAUCCAAAUAUUUUGAAUUCAACUAAACAUCCCACUCGAAGAUUCCAUUUGAAAAUUUAUCGCUAUAAUAAAAUCCUUGCUUGUGAAAGGUAAAGAAACGUAUGCGCUAAUUUGAACCAGGUGGAGCCGUUUACAGGCGUUGAUUUUUGGUUAAUUUGGGCAGCGAAUGCGCACGGUUUCUUGAGACAUAUAUAAGGAAUUAAGUUUUUUAUGCCCUCGUGGUCUUAAUCUCCCCCAAACCUCCGAAAUAUGGCUAGAAAAGGCGCUAAACGCAGCCAAAGGGCAACAUUUCGAGCAUGUGGUGUUACUUCGCAUUAUCGUAAUAUCAAGACUGGUAUGCCCACGUUGUAGACGUAAACACCUCAAAAACACGUCCCUCGUGCAUGUCAGGAUUUAAACAAGAUACAUUUUUCAACCUACCUCGCUGACGUGGGAUUAAUUUGGGAAGUAUUUCAGUCGAGAUUUUCAGCGGAUUUUAAAGGAUUUUUGUGAUAAGAUUUAUAGGAUUUUGAAAGAGUUUUCCCGGUUUUUAGCUCUUUUGUGGGACUUUUAAUGAUUUUUAACGAAGUUUUUGGAUUCGGAUUUGCAGCGAUUUCAAAAUUAUUAAAGUAGGAAUUUGAAUUUUCGAAAUUUUUUUUGAUUUUCGGGAAAGUGCAGGACGAGAAUUUUUUAGUAAUACACCCUCGGCGUAUCCAAUGUAAGGGCUGUUUUUCGGCUAGCAGCUCAUAGGUUAACCUGCUCGCAGCCCGAAAUUUCGUUCAAAGGAUUUCCGUUUCAAAUAGUUUCGGGUGGGGGCUGUGAGCAGGCUGUUCAUAGCCUCAUAGGUCUUGUUACCUUGACUAAUAAUAUUCCCUAUAAUUUUUUUUGCACUUCAAUCAUAUAUAUUUCAGCCCUUGUGGCAGUAUUAGACAGGCGAGGUAUCAAAGCCAAAGUAGAAAAAAACUUUUAAAAUUCAUAUAUUCUAAGUCAAACUAUAUGUCAAACUCGUUCCCAGGCUCUUUGCGCUUUGCUUCCCAAGAGCAAAGAGCCUGGGAACGAGGUUGACUAUAUGUCCCCCCAUAUGUCCCUUGCCUGCGAGCAGGUGGAAUAAUGUUAAUUCUAUUGUAGUUCAGGUAAGGCUGAUUUACACCAUCAAAGUUUCUGUGAUCACAGUAGGAAUUUUGCACAGGUAAAUUGAAUUCUAAGGUUUGAAGGAUUGGUAAGGAAUGUUUGAGCAAAUUGGCUUGGUGUUAAACAGUAAUUCCAUAUAAACAAUAUUUCAUUUAACAAAAAAAAGAAAUGGCAAUUUUUCCAAAAGCCUUGGGUUAUCUAGGGAAAGCUUGCCUGACAUUAAUAAAUACGUAUUUGCAUUGAAAUUAAUAAAUAUAGAGUGGCAACGAAACGUAUGAGAAUAAGAAUAAAAUAUAUCUUGACACACACAUAGCCAUGCACCUGCAGAAUUAACAGCGUCUUCCAUCUUUAUACAAGGUGAACAUUACCGCAAGGCAUGGCAGAAAAGUGUUCUUGAUUUUAACAAAAUCGUUUAGUGUUCACAAUAAAGUUCUGAACGAUUAGGAAAAGAUUAGCAUUUGUAUUUUGCGAAACGUCGGGAUGACCGUUCAAAAACUAUGAUAAACGCAUUUUGCUUGUUGAAUUUAACCAUUUGGAACCAAGUAAUUGUGCAGCGGAAGCAAAAAGAACAGCGCGAUGACUAAGCAGCAUAUCGGCCACAGUCAAAGAAGAAGUGACUGACAGUCUCACUGGUUGAACCACAAGAAUAUAAUGGCGAUGGCACGCAAUUUAUUAAGAACAAAUAAUGAUUUAAGGUACAAUGAAACAGGCGAAAUUAGGUUCCCUCAAACAUUUCUUACAAAUCCUUCCAUUCAAACUUAGAAUUCCUACUGUGAUCACAGAAACUUUGAUAGUGUCGUACACCAAGAUAAUUUCUGAAUGCGCCAGACAAAACUAGUCUUGAGCAUGAGACUUAGAUUAGAUUAGUCUCUUGAGGUUGGAGGAAACUUAAUAAUGAAGUUAAUUUUGGGAUAAAUUUGGUACGCCAAAGAUUAAAUAACCCCCAUAAAGCUAUUUAUAAGCAAUUAAUACACAAAAAAUGCUUUUAAUAUUCAACGUUCCGUGAUUUUCACACGCAUAUGGAGCUUGUUAUUGCAAAUCCCAACAAGCUGUUAUUGCAUCAUAUAUACUGAAGUAAUGAAAACGAUAUCUAAUUGGAAACUGUGUACACUUAAUUAAUGAGCCGGGCCCGUGUAUAGCACAUGUUACAUGUUGAAUCAUACACGUUCUAUAGUUUCGGAAUUGAACGCUGAAACUGUAAAAUCGUAGGCAGGAAUUCAGGAAAUAGAGUAUAAUUUAAGGUCUAUUUACACGAUACGACUGGUUGUAUACGGUUGUCAUUCUGGCGUAUGAAAACGACUGCCGACACCACCAUAUCCUGUUCAUCUAUGACUAUGGCGAAAGUUGAAAUGUAACAUUUUACACGUAUUUAUUUGAGUACAUACUCCAGGAUAAGAAUCGCAUACGAUUAAUUGUACUGUGUGGAUGGCCCUUUAGCAAACAUUCUUUCGUCAUAUAACACAAUGAGGUAAUAGAUAAAGGCAGCCAGACUAUUAAUUUCGUUGUGUUAUUGAUAACUGCACGUAUAAUUGCGCGAUAUCGAAGGCUGUCAAUCACAGCUGACAAACUUGACGAAUACAAAAUGAGGCAAGAGACGCUAUUAAACACUUGUUUUUGUGAAAAAGCAAUAUUGGCUUUAUUUCUAUUCCAUUUUUGGCAUGUUUGCAAGGUUUUGUUAAUUUGUUGUAUAAUCUGGAAGCCACAAUCAUAUUGCGAUGACAAAGCUGGCAGCAUUUGGAAUAAUUACGGCAGAGACUCGAUGAUAAAAGAACCUAUAAAUAUACUGCAGCUUUUUUGUAGUCUAGCACGUGCGAGACUUUUUCUCAACAAACUCACUGAUCUCAAAAAUCUAAAGUAAAGUGAUUAUUCAUCACGCAAAAACCCAAGCUGGCUGUAUGACAGUCAUGCAAAAUGCCCAAAAAGAAUUGUUCUAAUUAAAUAUACAAUAAUAUAGCUCGCGAAAUGUGACAAAUUUGGGAUUAAACAAUGCAAUCAACCAAUCAAAAAAAAAGUUUGCAGUAUAAUUUUAUAGCACAAGUCCGGUAAUGUGUUUUUAAAUGCUUUUUCAAAUUGAACUUGUUCCACAAAAGAAAUGUUUGAUAAAUAUUUGAUGAGAAAGAUUUUUUGUAAUCACGUUAAUUAAGAAUCAUUUUGUCCAAGUGUUUUGACUAUCUUUGUCCUGGAGGCGUGUGAACUUUAUCAUUUAUUUUGCAAUGCCAAUGAUAUUGCGGACUCAGUUUUGUGUAAAAGCCUUUAAAAGAUAAGAGAGAUGAUAAAACGGCCACACUUUUAUUAAACUACGCGUAUUUCCAGCUAUGUUUACACGCAGUGAUUUGUCGUGUACGAUUCGGAUUCUGGUGUAUGAAAAUUACUGCUGACGCCACAAUUCCUCUUCAUUUCGUUAUGAAUUUAGAAUAUGCGUGCUUAUUCCAUUACAAACGCGAGAAUACGUACAGCACAAAUCCCAGCGUGUAAAGGCUGUUUUCCACUUUAACCGUAUCGUAAUGUACCGUAGCAUUUUCUUUUGUGUCGAAGUCAUUACCCAGCGGGAAAAAUGACGUUUAUCCAACGUUGAAUCAACGUUGGAAAUGACCUUCCAGACGUUGGAUAGACGUUGAAAAAGGGUUGACUAUGCAAAUUGGAUCGACGUUACUGUUUCGACCUUGAAACAACGUUGAAAUUAGGUUGCCAAUCUCGUCAACAAUAAUUCAACGUUGAAUCCACGUUAAAACAACGUUGAGAUUGGUUCACAAAUCGACGUCGUACAUUUAACCAUGAAUGAACGUUAAUUCAACGUCUGUUGGCUGCUGUUAAACCAAUGUUUGUAAAACAACGUCAGAGCAACGUAGAUAUUAGGUUGUCGACGUCGCAACCUCUUUUCUACCAAAUUUCAACGUUGAAACAACGUCGUGUGCCCGGUGGGUAGUUCCACACUAGUGCUCAGGAAACAACGAAAUACGCUACGUUUCGGUACGAUUGAAGUGGAAAACUGGUUACGGAGAUCGAAAUCUACGAGAACGAUCAUCAUUUGUGCAGCAGUCACGCCAUAUUUGCCACUACGCUUAUAACUUUGGGCAAACUAGAAAACAUUGCCGUGGAAACUUUUGUUCAGUGUUUCUCGAAUGCAUGUGUUCUUAUUUGCACCUCUUGCGAGAACAAGAUCGCAAGCGUCAGUUUUGUUUUGGGUCGCCCAUUUUUGUGACCAGUAAAACCAGAGUGAAACAGAGAAAAACCAGGCCUGUCCAACAUACAUUAUGCAUGAUGGGAGAUCUUAGGGAAUCAUUAGAUCUUACUCAGUUCCUUAUGUGUCAUUUGAGAUUGUGAAAUGUUGAUCUCAAACUCAUUAUUAAUUCAUGAGUAAAUUAGCCAACCAUAUCACUUUAUUUUGCUCACAUAAUAAUACUGGAUACCCGGUGAAGUACAUUGUUCCAGUCCUAGGACUGGGUCAAAAUUAAUGCAGUCCUUGGACUGGAUCAAAAUUAAUUAACCUCACUUUAAGUAGUAGUGAUUUAUUCCGCGUAUGAGAUGUCAUUUCAAUUCCUCCAAUACUGACUGGACUAGAUUUCAAGUUCUCGCAUUUUGAUCCUGUCCUCGGCUUCGCCUCGGAUUUGAUCAAAUUGCGCGGACUUGAAUUCUAGUCCAGUCUUCAUAGUCAGAUUUGAAAGAUUACGUCAACAUACUAGGUAGUCAACAUACUAGGUACUGUGCAUGCCAAUUUCAGUAAGAUUUCCCGUUGUGAUUUCUGAGAAAUUGCGCGGAGUUGAAAUCUAAUCCAGUCCUCAUAGCCGGAUUUGAAAUAUUACUUCAAUGUUCAAAUUUGGCGUAAUGUACAGACAACUUUUCCAUUGCUUUUUUAUGCACUUUUGAGGAAAAUUUAUAACAGGCAAAUUGAGGAUCCAAGGAAGAUUAAACACUUUAUUCAGGUGUGAAAAACUACCACGAACAAUUUGACUAAAAAUGGAGCAAUUUCGUCGGCGCAAAAGGCGUAGUUGUUUGUAGUAAAUAUUAUGUUGGGAUAAAGUUGGAAAGAUUUUCUCGUAAUAUUAAUCCCACUCCAAUCCUUGCAACUAUAAAUUAAUUCUUAAUCAUUUUACUAGACUGUAUACAAAGAAGAACAGACAUCCUGACACUCCAUAUCGCCGCUGAAACCGUAAACCGAUAAAAGACUGGUACUAAUCAUGGCGGGAAAUGUGACAUCAUCUGUGCCAUCCAGCACAUUAACAUUGCCAUUCACGCCUACCACGUACAGCAACCAGACCAUAACCAACACCUCCAUGGUGCCUGGAAAAAACAACACCUUGUCACCUCAUUUGGUCUACUCGGAAUCGUAUAAAAUCAUCAGCGCAACAAUAAUCUUUGCCAUCAUGGCAUUGGCCAUUUUUGGUAAUGUCUUGGUUAUCAUGGCAUUUCGCAAAUACCAUAAGCUCCGUACUGUGACUAAUUAUUUCGUCGUAUCCUUAGCUGUCAGUGACAUCCUCAUAAGCAUGCUCUCGAUGCCAACAUGGGCUAUACACGUCGUCACAGGACCAGAUCCAAAAUGGGAAAAAAUUGACCAAUCUGCGUUCGUGAUUUGGACUCUAUCUGAUAUCGUCUGUGGCCUAACCAGUAUUUUUAACCUCACCUGCAUCAGUAUUGAAAGAUAUAUCUGCAUUUCCUCGCCACUUCGCUACUACCAGCGCAUGCGCGGACGACGUGCCGUUAUUAUCAUUAUUUUUAUUUGGAUUUUCGCUGUAUUUCUGGCCGCCGCCCGAGGCAUAUUUCGAAAUACUGUUGUAGUUUUCGAAGUGAUGUACACCGUUAUCGGGUUCUUCAUUCCUUUAUUGAUCAUGGUGGUAAUGUACUCGAUGAUCUUCCGCGUGGCUUGUAAACAAGUGAAGAAAAUGGAUAUCCCCAUGAACGGCACAACCAAGAAAUUCCGCUUGAGGAAAGAGAUAAAGGCAGCGAAGACUUUAGGCAUUGUCAUUUCAGCGUUCUUUGUGUGUUGGAGCCCGUUCUUCGUGCUCAAUUUCUACGCAAUCUGUGGCAGUUGUUACCGCUCGUUGCGCAGUGAUAUUAUCAUUGCAGCGAAGUGGUUCCAUUAUGUAAACAGUGUAUUAAACCCGUUAAUAUACGCCAGAAUGAAUAAGGACUUUCGAGAUGGCUUUACACGUAUUCUGCUGCAGUGUGCGAUGAAUGUUGGGAUACGUGAGAACAUCAAUGAAACGGAUUUACCAGCGUUGGAUCGUAGAUCAUCAUCAGUCCUAACUGCCGCAGGAAGACGAAGAAAAUCCAGUACUCACGUUCAUGGGAGUUUUAGUACAACAUGAAAGAUUGACAACAUGAACACUUGUCUUUCGCGGCAAACAUAUUUUGUGCAUCACUCGAGCACUGUUCUUUGUGCUGUAGUCAAGUAUUGACAAACAUUUUUUUUUAACACUUCAACAGUUUGGGUGAAACAUCUUCGUACAUUCUCAUCCGCACAUUUAUUUUAAGCACUGUUUGCUUCAACAGAAACUGUGGACACUUCUACGAGUUUAGACGAAAUGUCUUACCACAUUUUCAAUUGAGCACUUAACCAUAUGAUGAAUGUCAAGGACUUUCAAGUACGAUUUGUACAAAGACGGUCUGAGUAUAUAAACUUGAUCUUUUCCCCAAUUGUUGAAAUAUAAUUAAGCUGGCUAGAGGCGUUGAUCUACGGGGGAAUUUCACAUUGGCAAUG